rnacentral:lncRNA from 1 species
UUCCAAGUAACUCAAAUGUCCCAGAAGAAAGCUCAAGAGGAUUUACAGAUUACAAAUAUAUCCAGCACCCAACAAGGUGAAACUCACAAUGUCUGGCACCCAAUCAAAGAGUAUCAGUUCUACAAAGUAGCAGGCAAUGCAAUCCAUAAUGAGGGAAAUAAGCAAGCAUAACCCACAACUGAAACCGAUGUUAAAACGGGCAGGUAAGUACAAGUUACUCUAAUUUUAUUCCACAUGUUCAACAAAUUAAAUAGACCCUCAUAUAUAUGGUUAAAAGAUUUUUGACAGGAGUGCCAAAACCAUUCAAUGGAAAAAGGACAGUCUUUUUAACAAAUGGUGUUGGGAGAACUGAAUAUCCACAUGCAAAAGAAUGAAUUUGGACCACAUACCACAUACAAACAUGAACUCAAAAUGGAUCAAAGACCUAAGUGUAAGGGCUAAAACUAUAAUAUUCUUAGAAGACAUAGGAGAAAAGUUUCAUAACAGUGGGUUUGGUGAUGAUCUUUUGGAUAUGACACCAACAGCACAGGCAACAGAAGAAAAAAAUAGAUAAAUUGGAAUUCAUCAAAAUUAAACUUUUGGCUAGGCUUGGUGGCCCAUGUCUAUAGUUUCAACUACUUGGGAGGCUGAAGUGGGAGGUUCGCUUGAGCUCGGGAGUUUGAGGCUGCAGUGUGCAAUCACUGCAUCUGUGAACAGCCACUGUACUCCAGUCUGGGCAACAUAGCAAGACUCUGUCUCUAAAUACAUUAAUUAAACUUUUGUUCAAAAUAGGACACUAUCAAGAGAGUAAAAAGGCAACCCACAAAAUGGGAGAAAAUAUUUGCAAAUCAGAUACCUGAUAUGGGUUUAAUAUACACAGUAUACAAAUAGCUUCUAUAGUGCAACAAGAAAACAACUUGAUUAAAAGAACUUGAUUAGACAUUUAUUCAAAGAAGAUAUACAAACAGUCAAUAAGCAUACGAAAAGAUGCUCAACAUCACUAAUAAGUAGAUAAAUGCAAAUCAAAAUCACAGUGAGAUACCACUUCAUCUACACUAGGAUAGGUAUUAUUAAAAAAAACAAAACAGAAAAUAAGUAUUGGCAAGGCCUUGGAGAAAUCGGAGUCUUUGUGCAUUGCUGAUGGGAGUAUAAAAUGGCACAGCCACUGUAGAAAACAAUAUGGCAGUUCCUCAAAAAAUUAAAGAAUCACCAUAUGAUUCAACAAUUCUACACCUGGGUAUGUACCCAGAAGAACUGAAAUCAGGGGCUGAAAUAGAUAUUUUUAUACCAGUGCAGCAUUAUUCACAAUAGCAAAAAGGUGAAAGCAACCCAAAUGUCCAUUGAUGGAUGAAUAAACAAAAUAUGACAGACUAUAAUAUAGCCUUACAAAAGGAGUUUGUUUUUUUUUUUUUAAUUGAGAUGGAGUCUUGCUCUGUCCUCUGUCGGCCAGGCUGGAGUGCAGUGGCUCGAUCUUGGCUCACUGCAACCUCUGCUUCCUGGGUUCAAGUGAUUCUUGUGCCUCAGCCUCCCGAGUAGCUGGGAUUACAGGCACAUGCCACCACACCUGGCUAAUUUUUGUAUUUUUGGUUGAGACCGGGUGGUCUCCGCCACGUUGGCCAGGCUGGUUUCGAACCCCUGACCUCAGGUGAUCCAGCUGCCUUGGCCUCCAGAAUGCUGGGAUUACAGGUGUGAGCCACCAUGCCUGGCUGGAGUGAGAUUCUGACACAGCUACAACAUGGGUCAACCUGGAAGACGUUAUGUUAAGUAUAAUAAGGCAGGCAAAAAGGGCAAAUAUUGUAGGAUUCCACUUAUAUGAGGCACUUAGAGUAGUGAAAUUCAGAGACAAAAAGUAGAAUGGUGGUUACCAGGGGUUGGGGGAGCGGAGAAUGGAGAGUUAAUGUGUAAUGAGUAUACAGUUUCACUUUUUUUUUGUUUGUUUUGUUUUGUUUUUUUUUUUUUCCCCAAGGCAGAAGAAUUUUUCUUAGUGCAGAACAAAAUGAAAAGUCUCCCAUGUCUACUUCUUUCUACACAGACACGG